GACGAACGCUGGCGGCGUGCCUAAUACAUGCAAGUCGAGCGGAGUUAUUCCUUCGGGGAUAGCUUAGCGGCGGACGGGUGAGUAACACGUAGGCAACCUGCCUGCAAGACCAGGAUAACAUUCGGAAACGAAUGCUAAUACCGGAUACGCAGUUUCCUCGCAUGGGGAGGCUGGGAAAGACGGCGCAAGCUGUCGCUUGCAGAUGGGCCUGCGGUGCAUUAGCUAGUUGGUGGGGUAACGGCUCACCAAGGCGACGAUGCAUAGCCGACCUGAGAGGGUGAUCGGCCACACUGGGACUGAGACACGGCCCAGACUCCUACGGGAGGCAGCAGUAGGGAAUCUUCCGCAAUGGACGAAAGUCUGACGGAGCAACGCCGCGUGAGUGAUGAAGGUUUUCGGAUCGUAAAGCUCUGUUGCCAGGGAAGAACAGCCGAGGGAGUAACUGCCCUUGGAAUGACGGUACCUGAGAAGAAAGCCCCGGCUAACUACGUGCCAGCAGCCGCCGUAAAAC
rnacentral:rRNA from 1 species